rnacentral:rRNA from 1 species
UACAGAGGUCCCAAGCGUUGUUCGGAUUCACUGGGCGUAAAGGGUGUGUAGGCGGUCGGGGUAAGUCUGAUGUGAAAUCUCACAGCUUAACUGUGAAACUGCAUUGGAUACUAUCCGGCUAGAGGAAUGGAGGGGAGACUGGAAUACUUGGUGUAGCAGUGAAAUGCGUAGAUAUCAAGUGGAACACCAGUGGCGAAGGCGAGUCUCUGGACAUUUCCUGACGCUGAGGCACGAAAGCCAGGGGAGCAAACGGG